ACUUGCGAUCCGAGAUCAAACGAUCUUUGCCUCUACCUUGCCCAAAAAGCAUUCAGAGAGAGAGGAUCAGAAUCCACAGAGGGCUCUACUGACCAAACACUGAUCUAUUAAGGCGGAACCAAUUUCAAGCAGCAGGUUUCAGAAACUGUCACAGCAGGGAGCAACAGACCCCUCAUCAUCCUCUUUGGAUUUCAGAGAAGUUGAGGAGCAUGGGGGCCCAUCAGGACUGCCUAUGCAUA